GCUUGGUAAAGUGAAGAAUGUGAGGAUCACGAGAGGCGGGCUGGUUUAGAUUUUUUUGCGGAUCAGAAGUAAUGUGCGUUGUGUCUUAACCAAUUUGAUAAGUUUGAAGUGUUAUUUGUGUCUCUUCGGAAUAGGGCAUCCCUCACGGGGGUUAUAUCUGGCAUCUCGUGGGAAGUCCGUUUUGAAGAGAUGAAGAAUAUUCCUGGAGUGAUUGAAGCAUUUCGGAUGAAUCGUGUGGUGAAUGGUGAAAAAUUGAAGGGUCUAUCUGAUCUUUUAGUUUUUUGGAGUCUCUCCUACUCAAAUGCAGUUGGGGUAUAUAAACUACAGAGAUAUGUUGCAAUUGUGGUGGGAACCAUGAAGCCACGUCUUUCGAAUGCCCCGCAAGAGUGAAAGAGAAUGAGGUGGCCAAAGUCAGGGCUGUACAGAGCAUUUCAUAUGCAGCAGCUGUUAAAAGGGCUGAGGGUUUGAAAGGUGCACCAGAAGAGAGUCCAUGGUGGUGGAUAAGCCUUCACUGCAAGCUGCAGGGGUUGACUUUCACCAGCAGGAGCCAGACAUUUUAAAGGUUAAGAAGGUGGCCUUUAUAGCUAUGGUGAUAAAUGCCACUGCCAAGGUGGAGAGCAGGUCCAGGAAGAUAGAAAUUAUUGUGGAUGUGGCGGAGCGAUUCCUGGAGCUGAAAGAUUUUUGGUGAAGGAGCUACAUGGAAUAUAUUCACAAGCAGUACCACCCUCUGGGGCCCUACAUCCUGAGAAGUUUCAACCUGUCCAGUUGGUGGCGGCAAUACACCUUUUUGGGUUGUAGUCCGCCAUAAAACCCACAGAAGCAGAAGAAGAAUACAAACGAAGAAGACCGACACAUCCAAGCUGUCCAUUUUCAUGCUCUGGCAUAUUCCUUUCAACCUGUUCGUCGUUACCCCCUAGUUACUGCCAGGUCCUUUUGCGCAAAAUAAUGUAGUUGUAGACAGUUUACACUGCAGGCUGAACAAUUCCGAGUGGUACACUUGUGUCAACUGCACUGCCCACGGUCACAGUGUCGAUAUGUUGCAAAUAAGCAGCCCUACAUGACCUGGGUGUAGGUGGUGAGCCGGGACAACUACCUUGUAUAUUAUUAACCACAGGUUCUUCACCAUGCUCUGUGAAGAGGGAGUCCUUUUGGAGGUGGCCAUGCUAUCUCUGAAGGACGUACGGGCAGAAAGUUUGGAGCGCCCAAUAAACAGCAGUCUUUACAGAUUGUGAAUGCCUAUAGGCAAUUCACCAUGUGGGCAAGAGGACACUUGGGGAAGAGGAACAGAGUGCCUAUACCUGGCUGUGUGGUACAUUGAAACCGAUCACAAUUCACUUCUAAGGAGUGCUACAGAUUUGAAUAUGCUUUUUAUGAUUGAAACAUUUGACCUGCUCAUGCAGCCUACUUUACAUGUUGUUUAUUGUUCAUCUGUUUUAUGCAGCCUACUGUAGUAAAUUGUGUAAUGAAAAACAAAAUGGCUAUUACGUAUGAAUUUCUCCAUGCUAAAUGUCUUUAAGCAAUUUCAUUUAUUCCACCACCACCAAAUGGUUCCCUAUAGAGUAUAUACGAAAGGCUUGCCUCUCGAGCUGUUCUCAUUUUAGGUAUGACGUCUCUCCCUGCAGAGUGCGCACGCGAGCACCUUUGCAAGUUCACAAUUAUUGUAAAGAACUAAUGGCGC
ensembl:lncRNA